UUCUACUUACUACUGUUACGACUACUACCGCUACUAUUAUUUGUACAACCACUACUAACGUUACUAUUAUUUCUAAUAUUACGGCUACUACUACUGCUAAUGUUACUUCUACUAAUAAUGUUACUACGACUACUACUACUACUAGUACUACUACUGUUGUUACUAUUACUGGUACUACCACUAUUACAUUUACUUCUACUACUACUACUACUACUACUUGCCUCCUGACCUGUUUUCUGUUAUCCUCAACUAAUCUGUCCACUGACCUAGUAGUGGACGAGUGGAACAGUCUACCCAGUAGUGGAUGUUAGCACUGAUAAACACAUGUGUGAGAGUGGGAUAUAUUUAAGUGGGAUUUGCACAUGAGUGAGAGGUGAUGGAUUUAAGUGGAACUUGUACAUAAAUUAAUAAAGCUAUCAAAGUUUAUUCCCUGGGUAACAUUGAUAAUAUGUUGGGCGAAUAUUUUUGUUAGUGGGUUUGGGUUUGAGAAGGACUUGCCUAGUAUGGGCCAGUAGGCCUGCUGCAGUGUUCCUCCUCCCUUCUUAUCUUAACACAACACUGGUAAAGAAUUAGACACAUGUGCAACAUCUCUUAUAUAUAAUUCUCCAUUCUUCACAUCAUAUCCUUGUAUUGAUAAAGCCACUGGUGAGCGAAACGUCUACAUGUGUCUAAUUCACCAUGUUGUAUGUACUGUAUAUCAUUCAUGUAUAACACAUACACCACCUCAUACAAGCAGGCCUCCCUCAGACUGGUCACAGGUGGAGUUUCAUGCCUCUUAGUGCCACUAUGUACCACUCUAUGGCAACUUCUGGCUGCCACCACUAUGCUGGCACUCUGCACGGCAACAUUCUGGACUCUGAUCAACAUCUUGUUAGCUGAUCAGUUUGGAGAUGAAUCCAUGGCAACCACCUGGGGAUUCUUCAGGAUGACUCAGGGAGUCUGCAGUCUCUUCUACCCGGCCAUUAUAGGUAUGGUAUUAGACCAGAGUGGUGGUAUGGGAGUACCAUACAUGAUGAUGGGAGGAAUGUUGAUGCUGGGAGCAUCCAUCAUCUCACUGCAGCCUCUCAUAGCUACCAUCUCAGGCGCCAAGGUCAACAUUGAUUAAGAAGAUAGGAAGGAACAGCCCUACUGGACUAUGCCAGGCACCUCUUGACCUUUGACCCCGUCACAAUAAGAAGACUAGAGCACUGCAGUGGACCUACUGACCUAUGUUAGGCAGUUUUUUACACACUGGUUGUCAGUUAUGUAGUGUGGUAAUGACAGUUUAGGGUUGACAGUAUAAUACUUCAUGUAAUGUGCUGCCAUAGUUUACCUUCACGAUUAUGUUAAAUAAAUAAUAUUAAAGAA